GACGAACGCUGGCGGCAUGCCUAAUACAUGCAAGUCGAGCGAACAGAUGGAGUGCUUGCACUUCUGACGUUAGCGGCGAACGGGUGAGUAACACGUAAGGAAUCUACCUAUAAGCGGGGGACAACAUUCGGAAACGGGUGCUAAUACCGCAUAAUAUCUUCUUCCGCAUGGAAGAAGAUUGAAAGACGGCUCUGCUUUCACUUAUAGAUGACCCUGCGGUGCAUUAGUUAGUUGGUGGUGUAAUGGCCUACCAAGACGAUGAGGCAUAGCCGACCUGAGAGGGUGAUCGGCCACAUUGGGACUGAGAAACGGCCCAAACUCCUACGGGAGGCAGCAGUAGGGAAUCUUCCGCAAUGGGCGAAAGCCUGACGGAGCAAUGCCGCGUGAGUGAAGAAGGCCUUCGGGUCGUAAAACUCUGUUAUAAGAGAAGAACAAAUUGUAGAGUAACUGCUACAGUCUUGACGGUAUCUUAUCAGAAAGCCACGGCUAACUACGUGCCAGCAGCCGCAGUAA
rnacentral:rRNA from 1 species